rnacentral:lncRNA from 1 species
UUAAUGUGAAAACAGGAAAAGAAGUAAAAAUUGCACAAAAUGGCAUUGAAACUUUGGCGUGGGAACCUCACUUUAGCAGCCAGAAGAUACCUGGAUAACUUCCAACUUUGUGAGCCCCUAAAUGAUGCAGCGAGGAACAGCUUGGUAUGUGUUUACUUGCCCUCCUAUGUAAACUUUGUAAUGCAUGCCAUACGCAUGAUUAGAAGUGUUGGGUCAGCAAGUGAGUGCGUUAUGUAAUUUAAAUAUUGCAUGUUCUCCAGAAUGCCAAAUCUGUCCACACUCCCAUCAGCUGUGCAUGAGGGGAAGCUGUACCCACUUCCCCACCAACACAUGGCAUGACCUCUUUAUUUUUAAAUGAAAUAUAUCCUCUUGGGAGAGAGAUGCAUUACAUAGAUUUUUUUUUUUUAACGAGGAAAAAGACAUCUACCCUCAUUUUUCAAUACUUCCCAUAGUCAUAUUUGUGUUUACAUCAUAUCUCCACUAUUCGAUGGUAUAUUCAUUGAAAAGCAGGGACUAAGUCCCAACAAUUUUGUUAUGGAAUCAUAUUGUAUAUACAGAAGCAAGGGUGAAAAAAGGGGAGUGAGUUUUGUCGCACCUGCUUCUCAGCACUGAUGAUCUCUUCACCUUCUCCAUGACUCAGUUUUCAAUUGGUACUCUUGAAGUCUAACCUGUUUCUUUCUUUCUUUUUUUUUUUGAGAUGGAGUCUCG